ACAAUUGGAUGAAUUUGUUUUAGAUGAUCAGUUUGUCUUUCUGUCUCUUCUCUUUUUUUUCCCUCUCUUUUCUCUCUCUGCAGCAGGCUGUGAGUGAGGGAGGAGUGAGAGGAGAGGGGAGUGAGAGAGGAGGAGUGAUGGAGCAGAAUAUUCCAGCUUUGCAGAACCAGAGUUCUACAGAUUCUCUCCAGAGAUACAUGAUGAUGGUGAUGGAGGGCCAAGAGAAGGAGCAGAGAGAACAGAUUUCUUUAAAAGAUGAUUCAGUAAAUCUGAGCCAGGAGGCGGCAGCUCUGUCUGAGAGCAAAGACGACAGCAUCGCUGCAUUCUCCCAUGAUGAGCCUGAUGAUGAUUUUUGGUGA
rnacentral:lncRNA from 1 species